UUUUAAAUUGAGAAGAACAGCACUGAAUGGAGAUGGUGAAGCAGGAGAAGCUGAGGAUGAAUGUAUUGGUAUAUUCAAAUAUGUUCAAGGACAUGGAAGAGUAUAUUGAAUUGGGGAAGCCAAGGCUGAAUGAUCUGCCCACGGUCAUACCACAAUAGGAAUCCUACCCAUGUCUGUGGAUCUAGAAUGCAGCGACCAUCCAGUGGGCAACAGUGGCUUUACGGAAACCUUGAUGGUGGAGAGGAAAAGGUGGAGUCAACAGCCUUCAAGGAACUGACACCCCUCAGGUCAAAUUCCUGCAAGGAAAUGAAUCUGCUCACAACUACCUAACUGAAUUAAGUGGAUCCCUCACCAAGAGAAUUCUUAUUUUCCAAGCCUUGGAAUGACUGAAGCCCUAGUUGGCAUCCUGCCUGAAGCUUGUGAGGUGCCUUGCAGCAGAAGAUCCAGCUGAGCUGUGGCCACACUCCUGACCUACAGAAGCUAUGAGAAAAUAAAUACUGUUGAUUCAAGCCGCUAAAUGUUGGG
rnacentral:lncRNA from 12 species